AACGAACGCUGGCGGCAUGCCUAACACAUGCAAGUCGAACGAGAUCUUCGGGUCUAGUGGCGCACGGGUGCGUAACGCGUGGGAAUCAGCCCUUUGGUUCGGAAUAACAGUUGGAAACGACUGCUAAUACCGGAUGAUGACGAAAGUCCAAAGAUUUAUCGCCAGAGGAUGAGCCCGCGUAGGAUUAGCUAGUUGGUGUGGUAAAGGCGCACCAAGGCGACGAUCCUUAGCUGGUCUGAGAGGAUGAUCAGCCACACUGGGACUGAGACACGGCCCAGACUCCUACGGGAGGCAGCAGUGGGGAAUAUUGGACAAUGGGCGAAAGCCUGAUCCAGCAAUGCCGCGUGAGUGGUGAAGGCCUUAGGGUUGUAAAGCUCUUUUACCCGGGAUGAUAAUGACAGUACCGGGAGAAUAAGCUCCGGCUAACUCCGUGCCAGCCGCCGCAGUAA
rnacentral:rRNA from 1 species